GAAAGCCCAAGAGUAAGCUAUGUGAGGUUGAUGGCGAUGCUUAAAAGCAAUCGACUUACAAGGGUGUGAAAAUGGGCUCGACAUUGAAUCGAGAAAAAUAUGAUUUUUAUAGUUUUAAAAUGGUUUUGAAUGAAUGAUGAAAUUAAAAGAAAGCAGAUCAACCAUGAGUAUAAUAAAAACAUAAACAUAAAAUAAAAUGCUAAAAGAAAAUAAAAUGCUAAAAGAAAAAAAAGCUAAAAGAAAUAAAAUGCUCAAUACGGGUAUCGAACCCACUACACUAAAGACCAUAAAAAUCA
rnacentral:lncRNA from 1 species